GUAUAUUAUACAGUUGAGGGUAUAUUACCUGAAGAGGUGUAUUAUAUAGUGGAUGGUAUAUUACCUGAAGAGGUAUAUUAUAUAGUGGAUGGUAUAUUACCUGAAGAGGUGUAUUAUAUAGUGGAUGGUAUAGUACCUGAAGAGGUGUAUUAUAUAGUGGAUGGUAUAUUACCUGAAGAGGUGUAUUAUAUAGUGGAUGGUAUAUUACCUGAGAGGAGGUGUAUUAUAUAGUGGAUGGUAUAUUACCUGAGAGGAGGUGUAUUAUAUAGUGGAUGGUAUAUUACCUGAGAGGAGGUGUAUUAUAUAGUGGAUGGUAUAUUACCUGAAGAGGUGUAUUAUAUAGUGGAUGGUAUAUUACCUGAGAGGAGGUGUAUUAUAUAGUGGAUGGUAUAUUACCUGAAGAGGUGUAUUAUAUAGUGGAUGGUAUAUUACCUGAAGAGGUGUAUUAUAUAGUGGAUGGUAUAUUACCUGAGAGGAGGUGUAUUAUAUAGUGGAUGGUAUAUUACCUGAAGAGGUGUAUUACAUAGUGGAUGGUAUAGUACCUGAAGAGGUGUAUUAUAUAGUGGAUGGUAUAUUACCUGAAGAGGUGUAUUAUAUAGUGGAUGGUAUAGUACCUGAAGAGGUGUAUUAUAUAGUGGAUGGUAUAUUACCUGAGUGGAGGUGUAUUAUAUAGUGGAUGGUAUAUUACCUGAAGAGGUAUAUUAUAUAGUGGAUGGUAUAUUACCUGAGAGGAGGUGUAUUAUAUAGUGGAUGGUAUAUUACCUGAGAGGAGGUGUAUUAUAUAGUGGAUGGUAUAUUACCUGAAGAGGUGUAUUAUAUAGUGGAUGGUAUAUUACCUGAAGAGGUGUAUUAUAUAGUGGAUGGUAUAUUACCUGAGAGGAGGUGUAUUAUAUAGUGGAUGGUAUAUUACCUGGAGAGGUGUAUUAUAUAGUGGAUGGUAUAUUACCUGAAGAGGUAUAUUAUACAGUUGAUGGUAUAUUACCUGAGUGGAGGUGUAUUAUAAAG